AUGACUAUGAAUCAAUAACGCUGAUUAUGUAAUCACUUGUAGCUAGUGGUAGGCUAUGUGCCUGGUGAAGUUCUGCUUUUGUUUGGGUCUUUGAUCUUUUAAAAAAAUAAUCUUACAAAGAAUAAGUUUUGCUAAAGACUGAUGUUGUCUGUACUCAGAAAGAGCUAACAGUUUUGGACACACUCCAGGCUCUUAUGAAACGCCAGCAGAUGGCUGAAGGAAGUCGAAUUUCACCACAGUUUUUUUCUCUCUUUUUGCCACUCACAGUCUCCACUGAAGCCGAGGAAGAGGCCAGCGAGUCUUUGUGUUGGGGGUCAUGAUCUUUCACCAGCUGCUGGCGACCUUCCCUGCUGGGAGGUCACAUGUAGGAGCUGAGGCGUGAAGGAGUUGACAAGGGGGAUUCAAAGGAAGACGUGAAGAGAAGAGAUCAUUUUUAUCCUCGAACUCGAAGCAGCAAUGACUUCUGUAUAUAGUAUGCAUGAAGAUUGCUACAACAGUGAGCGGAUGAAAACUGGCGAAACAAGCAAAAAUAGGACGUUCUUGUUGCCACAAAAGGCCUCCAGCUUCCAUCAUCACCUGACUUUGUCUUAAUCAGGCAACGUGGGCUUCAGCUGCACAGCUGAGUGACCUUUCUUGCUUGUCAUACAGGAAAAGGAAAUGAGCUGUGCUAACAGAACAUCCAGCUUUAAUUGAAACUUCUCUGUAGAGACAUACAAAGUGCACACUCUCAAAAUCUUUAAAUAUUGCAUAAAUUAUAGGCAAUAUUGUCAACCUUUUCCUAAAUAACGUGAAAAGCUUUACCACCACUUUUCCAUCAAAAGGUGCUCAUCUGUGAAGUGUUUAAUAAAGGAUACCGCUGCCUUAUGUCAGAGAACAAAAAGCCUGUCAUUUUUACUCUACCUGCCGUGAGUGGAGAUGCAAACAAUGGUGUUGGCCUUGUCUGAAAUGCAAAGCAUGUCCUUUCACAUGCAAAGCUAUGUAAGGAGAAGGGACAAGUUCUGAUCACCCCCGCGCAUGUUUGUGUGUUUUUAAAAAUGUCGUCCCGUUGCUUUGAUGGAUGAACUUGUGUUGCUCUGACUGCAGCUUCCUGUUAUAAUUUCCAAAAUGCCUGUGAUUGUCUGUAUGUCUGUGCGUGAAUGUCAGUCCACAAAAAGGUUGAUGGAUAUCACCACGUGCUUCCUAUUUUAUAGGAAGAUGUGUGUGUGUGUGUCUCCAUGUCCAACCCCUGACUAGAGCAGUUGGACAUGCAGAGACCUGCUUUGUGUUGAGCAGGGAUAUUUUUGGACUGUUGUGUUACUGCGAGACAGACAGCCAAAGGAACUUUUAAACUUCCUUUUCAAAACCAAAAGAUACUUUUUUUAAAUUCCUCAGGUCUGGGUUGCUGGAUUGUCUGUUUAGCACCAGACUUCUAUCUUUCUAUUCAUAGUGUAGAGCUUUGCAUAAAGUGCUUUUGUAGUAGGUGCUGACAGUGGAAAAAGCGACCAGGUGGUUUCAUGGAAACACCUGCAGGAAAAUAGUUCACUGUACUCUUGAGAUUUGAGGAUGAAAGAUUCUCUUGAGGUGAAAAAGGAUACUGUCCGCUGUCAGGACUUCCUCUAGCUAUAAAACUGAGCUAACCUCCUUAUCUGAGUGCUAAAUACCAGACAUGCAAAACUUUGAGUUGAUUGGCUGUCUACAAAAGGUGAACACGGUCGGCAAAAUAAAACUGGUUGAGCGCAGAGUUUCUUAAAGUGACCAUCUAGAUAGGGGUUAAAUGCUGACAGUUAUACUCAUUUAUCAUGACUUGGUGUGAGACUGCAAUUGAGUAGUCCGCUAAAUCUUAUUUUUUUUGCACAAAAUCGCUACUUCUCAGUCUCUACAGGCGUCAGUAAGCAGGUUAAAUGUUAAAGUAAAUGACAGCACAAGUAGAAAAAGACUGAACAGGUAUGGCUUGUUUGAAACGGUUCCCUCUCUCUAAAAUGAACUUGACAGCAUGACUUUGUUUAGAUGCAGCUUUGCGAACCUAACAAGAUUUCUAGAACAACCCGGCCUCGCUUACUAAAAUGUGUGCGGAAGCAUUCCUACCUUGCACAAAAAAUGAGUUUGCAUGCAAAAUCACCAUCAUUAUGACACGUUUUGGCCAAUUUUGUUCAAUGAUUUUUGUGUGAAAUGUUCAAAUUGUUGGUUUGCAGACACGUUUUUGUGUAUUUACUGUUAAUAUAUGAUGGUGUAUGUCGUUUGAACAGACAAGACCAAAGAGCUGUUUGGCCGUAAGUACCAUGUUUGACAUUUGUUCAACAGCUAAAACUUGUCCUGAAUUGGGUCAUGCAAUUGAUCAU